UUAUGCGAAGCUUGUAUAAAUGGUAAACAAGCUAGACUUCCAUUUGAAAAAACUAAGAAUAAAGAACAUAUACGUAGGCCUUUAUUUAUAAUUCAUUCAGAUGUUUGUGGUCCAAUAACUCCUUCUAGUAUUGAUGGAAGAAACUAGGCUACGGGAAGCAUUUCAACGUGGGAGUCAAUCGCAAGUUUUCUUGAGUAGAGAUUCCGGACUUUGGAGAGCAUGGAUUUGCCGACGACAUCAUAUGCACCAAACCUGCGGUAGGACGGCGUAGACCUUUUCAUAUAGCUUUUCGCCUGAGGAUAGGCAAAGUAAAGCGACUGGAUUUAAGUAGCUUGGGAUUCUUCCACUGAGCUGCUGCUGCUUUCGUUUUCUGCUCUUCAGUCCACUUCGAAGCCGUCUCGACGCUCUGUCCUAUCAUCAAUAGCGGGGUUAUACGUGUUAAAGAUAAAGGUUUCAAAUUCAAAAAAUACCCGCCAAGAGGGCGCUUAUAAUAUCAUAAUAUCAUAUCGAUAACUUUUAAUAACAUAUCGAUUGUA